UCCUCGCCCUCUUGUCUUCCUCCUUAUGACACCUCUGGAGUUGAACAGGGGAUGUGAUUGAUCUUCAUGGGCCUGUCACCUCUCUGCCAGUGUUCACUGAAAAUCCCAUGAACGUGGGAAACAGGUUUGGGUAGGAGAAGCUUGGGAACUAUCAGGAGGGCUGGACAAAAAUAUCACAGACAUCUGUCCCAGAGUGGGUGUCUGGACCAUCCUACCACUGCCUGUGAAUGCCCACUCAGUCCCGGGAGCUGUAGGAGGGCUCCCUCUGCCCAUUCCUUCCUUCCUCCUCAGAUACGGCCACCUCCCUCCCUUGCCAGUCUUCAGAUUGGCACAAUGAUUAAUGACCCAGGCAAGAACUUAAUUUCCUGUCCAGUAGUCCAAGGCUGAUUUCAAAUAAAGGAACUCACCCAACACAACUGUUUCCUCUCCACAGCUUCUGAUCUUUCAUUCAAUUGUGGGCAUUCUUCUCUCUCAGUGUGAAAGCAGAAUCAAUUUUCGAACCUCUAUUUGGUGAAGAUCCCAAAGAAUCAGUGAAUGCUAAAUCUGGAAGGAGCCUUAAGGGCAGUGUAAUGGAGCUCCUCUCUCCUUACAAUUCAGACGGGACUGAGGGUGAAGGCUGGGACUCUCACCACUCUGUAUGUACAUGGUCCAGUGAAGAGAGAAGUACAAUUGCUAAAGGACACAGCUUGGGCUCCUCACUGGACUCAUUAUGGAGUUACCUUUAAUGAAACAGUCAAUUUUAAACUGGGAACUAAUCACCAUGGCAGAAUGUUUUCGCAAUUACAGGCUCAGGAAAGACACAACCGAAAACAAGCAUCAGGGAAAACCUUCAGAUAGCACAACACAAUUACUAUGUCCAAUUACUUCCGGGCUCCUUAAAUACCCGAAGCAGAUGUAAUGAACUGUCUUGAUUUGAACUACAUGUAUCCAUCUCUUGUAUUUAUUUCUCAGAAAUGCCUGAUAAAUAAGUAACUCCACUGCUCUCUGUGAAAUUAAUUCUGAAAAACAGAGGUUCCCAAACGAGAUGCUAAUGACUGCAUAAUAGAAUACCUUCUUUGGACGCAUGACUUCCCCUAGACAAUUCCAGCUACUACUCAGGAAAUGCUUUCUGUGUUGAUGCCUAAGUGAUCCAAAAUUCACAAGUACAGUAUGCAAAUGACAAGCGCGGGGUUGGGCUGACGCUGGCUUGAGAGGCAGGCAGAGCUCUCCCAUCAGCAGCAGGGUGUUCUGUAGGCAGUGGACAGGCUGGUACUGCCAGAGUCAUGGACAGGAGGCUAGCUGCUUUUCGUGCAGGUCCAGCUCUCUCCAUUAGCUGAGUGCUCCUCCCCAAGUACCUGGCUCUUUCUGAAUAUGUGCACACGUGUGCGUGUGUGUUGUGCUUCAUACGUGUGCAUGUGUUACCUGGUGCUGAGCUCAGGAGAGGAUGGAUGUCUUCUAUCUCUCUGCCUUGUCUCCUUGAGACAGAGUCUCUUACUGAACCCUGAGCUGACAGCAGGCCCCACUGACCCCCUCCUAUUUCUUCCCACCUACCGUGUUACAGAUGUAUGUGUGGCCACGCCUGAUUAUUUAUGUGGGCUUUGGGCACUUAAACUCAGGUCUAAUGCUUGGGCAGCACAAUUCUUUUUUUUUUUGGUUCUUUUUUUCGGAGCUGGGGACCGAACCCAGGGCCUUGCGCUUCCUAGGUAAGCGCUCUACCACUGAGCCAAAUCCCCAGCCCCGGGCAGCACAAUUCUUAGUGACUGAGUCAUCUCCCCAGCCUGAGACACUGUUUUUUUAUCUGUAAAUGAGAAAUAAUUAAGGCUUGUUGGGAUGUUAGUAUUAAAAAUGAAAUGAAUAGCAUGUAUGAAAGGACUGCAGAAUGGUGUGCUGUAACUAUGUAUUGAGCCUAAGUUUAAUUGUGUUUUUGUUCUGAGUGAAACAUUCCAAUUGCUAUGAAAUACAAGGCAGGCAUUUAUGUUACUUUAUUAUUAAAGUAGACUUGUAGUAGUUACUUUAUUAUUAAAGUAGACUUGUAGUAGUUACUUUAUUAUUAAAGUAGACUUGUAGUAGUUACAGGUGCGAAAAAGUCAAAUCCACAUCGAAUUCACCGUUUUCCAUUACAGUGUUGCAACGGGCUGGCAGCGGAAUAUGGGUCAUGGACAGUCUGGGAGUUGAGCAGUAGGAACCAACCAUGCUUGUGGACCAUGGACCUGGUUACUCUUCCUGUUGCUGUGGUAACGUGCCCUGACAAAGGCCACUUAAAGGAGAAAGGGUUUACUUUGGUUCAAAGUCGGCAGUACGAACCCUGAUGGAUCAGGGAAUCACCACAGCAGGAGCUGGUCACACCACAGACACAGUCAAGGAGUAUGGUGCCAUGAAUGGUGUGCUAGAGGUCAUCUCCUAGGACCACAGAUGGGAAAUGGCCCGCCCACAAUUAAGAUGAGUCUUCCUACAACCAUUAAGGUAAUCAAGAAAGUCCCCCAUAGGUCUGGCCAGAGGCUUGUCUAUUCAGGUAAUUCUACAUGCUGUCAAGUUGAUACAAACCAUAAAAGUUGCCAGAAUCAUAGGCUUUGGCCAAGUGGGCUCCAGCACCCAGGGCAAGAACAGAAAUAUAUCUUCUUCAUCUGUAAAGUGAGGUCUGUUUUAUUGAUUUCAUAGGCUAUGAUUGAUUAAUAGUUAGUAACUCUAUACAAGGUAGCUAGCUAAAUCCAAGACUCAGAGCUAGUAACUAAAAAUUAUAACUCCUCAGAACUCACCAGGACAAGGUCUCUAGGUGAAUGUGCUGGGGCUUUUGUUGUUGUUGUUUUGUUUUCAUUUAUUUUAUAAAACAGUAUACCUCAGUUCUUCUUCAUGUUGAGAAGAUAUGCUAUGGAAAUCCAAUGGAGAAAUGUAGGAGUAAGGGCUGGUCUACAAAGUAGUAGGUAUGAAUGGGCACAUCUACACUCAAGAAAAAUAUGCACUGAAUGAGGGUAUUGUGCUAGGGACAUCAAUCACUAUGAAAUAUGCAUACAUUUGAUAGCUUGUUCAUAGUUCUAUGAAGUUUGAAAAAGUACCAGAAGUGGGGCUCAAAAAGCCAUCGAAAAGUUUCCUGUCAAAGACCAAAUGCAGCUGGUCCAGAUGAUCCAGUGCAGAAAGUUAAAAUAGUCAACACUAAGCUCUUGACCACAUUUAAUAUAAUAAUGAGUGUGGAUAUGAGCCUUUAAGAUGGCUAAGAGCUGGCGAGACAGAAGACUGUUCCAAAGGCUAUAGAAUAUCUAGAAAGGACAUUAUGUACUAUGGAAAACUCAACUGUGCUUAAGCUCUCCCAGCCUAAAAUUAGUGGGUGGUUUGUUCAAUCACUGCUCAGAGAACUCAGCAAGUCUGGCACUUGUAACUUGGACAGCAUGUCUACCUUUGCUGGCUCUUAGAGACAGUCUUCUGAAUUUCCUUGGUUGAAUGCAAACCACAUUCGUUAACUAACCACACAGGCUAGAAGACGCAUACCACAGCUGGCAGACUGGAUGACUGGAAACAGUCUUAAAGGUCAUGAGGCGAAGGCAGGGUGACCUAGAGAAUUUAGUAGGUGGUGUCUGUAGUUUCCAGACUAAUCCACAGCAGUCACUGGAAACACAGACCUAGAAAGGACUAGAUUUUACUCUAAACCCAUCCCGCCCUCUCUCCUUGAGCCCCUAUCUUUGUCUUACUUUGUAGUCAAAGUGGCUUUCAACUUCCUGGGCUCGAACUCGGGAUCCUGUUGCCUCUGCAGUCUGCACGCUCCCUGAAGCUGUUCCAAUUGCUCUAUUUCUAUUGUCUAAGUUUUGGUCUGAAACAGUCUUCAUCACUUCACUUAAUUAUGAUCUGGCUCUAUUUUCUACCCAUCCACAGCACUGGUGCUCUGAGCAACUCUAAAACGUAAUUUACUUCUAUAAGCGUAGCCUUGGCUGGAAUCCUUGCUGGGCUCCUCAGCACUCAGGAUGCGAUUCAAACACCCUGUUCUAGCAGAAUUGGUGGCCUGAUUGUCUUUGUCUCUGCAGCAGACUCCCUGGGGGCAGUCUCUUUGGGAUCCCCAAUCUCUUAAUACACACUAAUUGAAGUGAAGAAUAAAUAAUUGAAUAAUAUACACUUGGAGCGAGUGCUGCGUGAACAAAAGCUUCGAUUACUGUGGAAAGGAGGACACGUACUGUCAGUCAUACUGCGGCCACCAACCCGUGCCGUAGGCAGCUAACCGUGCCUGCUGCUGUACUGCUGUCACAUGUCCCCUCUGCCCUACACUAUUUGACAUAUAUUGCUCCCUGUAGAUCUAAUACCUCGAGCUCGGCCAGGAUAGUGAUUAUUCAAGCUUUGAAGCAGCAGGAGCAUGGUGCCAGGGUUUAGCGGUGAGUUCCCUAACCUCCGAGUCAGUCUACCUAACUUCCUUCCUCAUUGUCUAUACCUCCCGAUCACAUGACCCAAGCUCUGAAGCUUACUGCUUACUUUUCUACUUUCUAUCUUUGUAGUACAUAAUUAUGAAGAACUUUGCAAGAUGCACUGUCUAGGACUGGGCACGUAGCUCCGUUGGUACAGUGCUUCCUUGGCAUGCACGAAGUUCUGGGUUCAAUGCUCAGCACUCUAUCAAUUGUGCUGUGGUGCACGACCCUGUAAUCCUAGCCACUGGGAGGUAGGCAGGAGGCUCAGGGUGGUGAUGGCACACUAUCUAGAAAAUACCCUAAGAGAGCAGAAAGUGAUACAAGCCAAAGGCAGGACAGGUGGAGGAGAGGCGCCACUUCUGACGGUCUGUACAGUGAUUUCUGAAAAAGCCACAGAGUACUUUGAAACACAGACGGUUCAGUGAGGAAGAGAUCCCGUGCUUCUUACUUAACAUAGGUCCCACAUCAGUUUGUGACGCACAUUAACAUUUGCCUAGUGUACAUGUACAGUGUGGGGAUGGUAGAAUCAUUCUGAGCAGUGUCUUGGUCCAUCUGAGUAGCCAGCGUGAGCAUGUAAGAGUCAAUAACCUGCCCGUGCUGGGCGGGCCUGGCGCAAGGGCAGCAGUCAAGGUAUCGGCAAGCACCUGCUACCCCCAGUUUCUGUCCCUGCCACUGAACCUGUGUUCCUCCCACUGCAAGCCUCUCCUGUCCCCUCCCCAGCUCGCUGGCGACCAAGGUUGUUCCCUUGAUUGGUGCUGCCUGCAAGCACCCUGCUCACAUCCACCCGGAGGACAUGGCCAUGCCCACCUGAGCAGGCACUCACAUCACCUGCGCUGUAGUCCCAGAGCUGUGCUGCUUCGCCACCCUGUCCUGCCCCAGGCCUUGACACCAGGGCUGCUCGCUGUCCAUCUGACAUGACUUUAGCUCCAGAUACUCAGACCAAAGUGUUCACAUCCCUGUUAAGACCAGGUCUUGCCGGCCUCACCCCUAAAAACUGAGCACAUUUGCAACUUCUCAAAACGAGGGCUAAUGCUGACCAAUGAUAUCACUUCCGCUUAGGCUUGGCAAAAAUUAUCUCCUGACCUGCUGGGAGCCUGCGUGUCACCAGAGCUUGUGGAGAUCUAGGUAAUGCCCUGAUCAUCCAGAGUUUUAUGGAGUUUUAUAGAUUUUACACAAGGAGUUAUGAAUGGUUAUGUCCAAUAGUGCGAAGUCAACAGCUCACCAUGGUGAGUGUAUAGCAAUCUUAUGUAUCUAGAGUGAGUGUCUAAUUAUUUGAAUAAUCCAGUGGAGUUAAAUCAUAUGGGUAAAAUGUUAAGCUUAAAGAUUUCUGGUUUAAAAAGCGUCUCAGAACACUGCUAAAUGAUAAAACAUAUGCCCAUACUGAUUAUAUAUAUAAAAUAUAUACAUAUAUAUUUCACUAUAUAUAUGUGUAAUAUAUAUGUGUAUAUAUGUAUAUACAUACAUACAUAUGGAGUUGCAAGUCCAUACAUUGCAAGUGCAAUGUCUCAGCAGAGCAAAUCCUCAUAGAGGGCACUGAAUUCUGGAUGAUCCAGGGGACAACCUAGCCAAAGACUACAAGGGAUGAUGCCUAUGACUAGGAAGUCAAUAUUAGGAACCGGUAUCACUCCUGAGCAUGGCCCGUCUUCUCCAUCAGUCACACGCCACCAUUGCUGAAAUCUUAGCCAGACUGUCAUCUUGAAAAAACAUAACCAGAUAAUGAUUCAAUGAAAAUGUCACAGGAUAUAAAAUCGAUGACGUAGAAGAAGUGAAAAGGGAAAAUGUACUCCACUGCAUCUGCACACAGACUGAAAAACAGGAUCACAGUGGAAGCCGGAGUCUUCUAGCCACACUCAUGAUGGGGUGCGAUUAAUGUGGUCCUAUUAGCAACAACAUAGGAAAUGCCUGUUCCUGGCUAGUAUUGUCCAAACACGCAAACGCUUAUUUGACUCUCAGGAUGAAAAGCAGGUGAUGAAUUGCUGGCUGAGAAUUACAUCACCAAGUUGAUAAAAACGACACUGGGGACAACUUGACCCAGGUUUGUGUUUUGAUAGCUAAUGGUAGGACAGGGCCCUGUGGCCAGUGCAGGGGUCAUCAGUGCCGCAUCUAAACCAUCUCAGUUGUCUACGACUGGAGUCGCCUUCCUUUCAGAAUGCAGUCUACACUUCUGCCUGGUUUUGCUAACUCCGACUUCAGCUUAAGCCUGCAAGUUCCCACAGACACUGCCAGGUUUCUCAAAAGCUAACAGCAAUGUCAUUUUUGUCACCAUGCUGCUCAAUUGAAGACAUAUUUGGAAACGAACCCUGAUUUCACAAACAUUUCAGUAAAACUUCACAUGAAAUUAUUGGCCUUUACUGGUUUAGCUCUACCAAUACAAAUGAACCCAAACGGACCACUCAAAUAGGAAUUUCCUUACACACUGAAUAAAUGCCUCAUCACUAGAAAGUAAAUUUUCCUUAAAAACUGAUGGAGAUUAUCAGAGGUAAAUUAUAACGUGAAAAGCAUUCCCAAUGGUUCUUUCGUCUCAGGAUACAUGUAAAUGUAAAACUCCAAUCCAACCCAAGGAUUUGGUUUCUGUCCUGGUAGGAAGGGAAUGAAUAGCUCAUUGCUCUGCUGAUUUCUUAAAAUAUAUUAGUGGUUUGGAAGUUAAAAAAGUAAAAUUAUAACUCCUGAUAAAUGAGACACUGAAAAAUGAAGGGGUGUGGAAUUUUAGAUUUAGGGGAAUUUUAAAGAAUGUGUUUUAAAACUCCUAACAAAAUUUCUCAAAAAGCAAGUCUAGUGUUAAAAACUAUCGACCUGCAAAGAACUUUCUACAAAAGGGGAGUGUGGGUCUCCAAGGAUGAGAAGAAAGGAGAGGCAAGCCGCCCAGUUCAACUCAACCUUCAGUCUUUGCUUUGUUGAUACUGCAUUUUUACUUGAAAACGGACUCUCUAGGCACGGAGCAUAAACCUGCUGAGCCCUCGAUUUACAGAAGCAUGUGCGCGCUGUGACGUCACACGAGAGUUCUGCACACACACGACAGCAGGAGAGCAAGUGAUUCUCUUUUUUUUUUCCGGAGCUGGGGACCGAACCCAGGGCCUUGCGCUCGCUAGGCAAGCACUCUACCGCUGAGCUAAAUCCCCAACUCCUGCAAGUGAUUCUUUAGAAAGAAUUUUUGGAAUAGAAGAUCAAUGUCUUAGUAACAAGACAAAACAAAGAAAAAGAGAAUCACUGGUCAGGCAAAGCAAUGUUUGGCAGCAAAGGGAAUCAAUGUCACAUCCUUCAUGAACACGGAUUCUAGUGGGCUGCUUGGGAACAGAGCUCACUGGAGCUCAUACUGGAAAUGGAAAGCUGUGGUAUGGGAGCGGUUGGUAGGGCUGGUCUUUUAAGACAGAGAUCUACAGAAGUGUGUUGAAGAUGGGUGAGAGAGGACAGCUCAGAUCAAUGAAGCCACUGCUCUGUAACAGGAAUUUAAUCUUCCUUCGCAAAGUGUGGUAAGGUUCGCAAUAUCAACAUCAAUGAUACAAGUGCCAAACCCAUGUCAAUUAAGAAAACAUCUGUGUAUUUUACACACAAUAAAUGGGAGAGGGGAGAGAACAACAGGGUUCACGUGCGCUGCCUUCACAGAGACAACAGCUGUCUGUACAAUAGCACACCAGUAGGUAGACAUGAACGUGCCUGUUGUCCUUUCACUCCAAGUAACUAAUUUUAAGUUUCCUGCUGCUCUGCUAGAGUGCACUCUAAGUGGCCCGCUAACCUCAGAGAUCCUAAGACACGUUAAGGAGGGCAGCAGGAUCCAGAUGCCAGACGCUUCCUGGAUCUCGGCACCUCUCUAGCUUUGGCCACUUCAGUGGAAUUCUAGACAAUGCGGGUAGGUGAUCUCAGUCAGAGAUGGGAUGUUGAUGGAGUCCUCCCUGCUAAUUUGGAAACUGUUUCUAGAAUCUGCAAUUAUUUCUUAAAAUAGGGUUUUAAAAAUCUCUGUCUUCAACUAGACUUUAAUUUGCCUAGUUCAACUUGUUUUGAAAUUUCUAUAAAAAGCCACAAAGGAACACUCUAAAAAUUACCAAAAAGGAUAGAUUUACCAUGAGCAGUAAGAGGAGGAUUAAACAUUAAAUUCGCAAUGGUUUAAAUUUAUGAAUUGGAAUCUUGUCAAAAGUCAUUACACUGUUCAAUGAGAAGAGAGGACAGAAGACAAGGGAUCUGUCUGACUGACAUUAUGUCUCUUAGUGUAUGGGUUAGUUUCUGCCUCAAGAAGUUCCAUUAUUUUAAAUGAAUCAAAACUUAAUGAUUAAAAGAAAGCUAUUCAUAAUCCUCCUGUCCUAAGAGAACUGGAAAGUAGGCAAUACCCAAAGUGAGUCUCCGCCAGCUAAGGUCCAAUUUAAAAAGUAACAGUCAAAUAAAAUUCUUGCUUUUCUUCCUUCUUUAUAAGUAUAUAAUUUUCUUAUUCAAAUGAGAGAACAUAAAACUUAAAUAUACUGCUAUUUUAUUAUAAAGGUUAAUCAGGACAAGUGUAUUAACAAGCUUAAGCAAACAAUAUUUAUUGGGCAUUUACAAAAAUUUUGAGGACUAACCCAGUUCACAGAAUCUAAAAUAUUUAGCUCAGGUUAACAUUUAUACUACCCAGGGUCACUCAGAGACCUAAAACUUACCUGUAAAAUUUCAGUCUGAUUUUAUGUUCUACCGGGGUCACGUCAGAACUAGAAUUACACAUAGUGCUUCCAAUUAUAUGGGAUAAUUAGUUCAGAUGUAACAGGUGUGAAAAAGGCCAGGUUUUUAUCUUAAGGCUUUGUUCUCUAAAAGCCUGUAAAAUUGCGUUUACACACAUUUCAGAUGGUGGGUGGACGGAAUUCCUCACGGGUCUUACCACAUGUCUGAGGCAUCUGUUGAGAAGAGCAAGGUACAGCAGAGUUCAACAGCUCCCUCCAAACAGCCAUCGCUAGAGACAGUUUUCAGUUACUCCAGGUUUAAAAAAUAUUUCUGGCUUACUGGUCAAAAGUGUUAACUGACUAGAAAUAAGUACCUAGUGGUUUUCAAUGAGGAAAUGCUGAAAGCUGUGUGAGAUUCUAUACCGAGGCCGAUAUCCUGUGACAGAAUUACCUUCCCACGUUAAGUAUAUGGCAUUGCUGUUCGUGAUGAAAAGCCUGAAGCCAAUGAGAAUCUACUAUCAACGUGGACGCAUACCGUAAAUACUUGCUGAACUUAGAAAGCUCGACUGCGGUUCUCUAAUAAAGCCUUACUGACUUCAUAGCUGAUUAACUCCUGGUGACUCUUUUCUUGAUCAACAAAUGCAGAAAGUGUCAGGUGGGUUUGUAAAUCACCAAGUUGUUCUAAAAAUGGGUUCCUGAUUUUGGAAGGUUGCAAACAAGCUGUGUUUUUCUGAUUCAACCCUGGAUCUUCAGUGAGCUCAAAAAGGACAUUUGCUCAAGUCACAGAAUGUGGAGCACAGCGUGAGAAAUGCGAACAUUCCUGGUCAGCUGACAUCAUCAUGACAACGCUGGCUGGCAGGGCUCCAGGGGGUCAAAGCAGAACGGGGGGGUGGGGGGGUGGAGUGGGGGGAGGGGCUGGCUUUUGAAGUGAGAGAAAGAAGCCUGGGUUUUCUGAUUUACACCUUGGCAAGAGCAGAUGCUUGGAAGGGGCAGUUUUAUGUGCAGAUGGUGCAAGUGUGUGUGUGUGUGUGUGGGGGGGGGGUGUGAGAGGAGGAAGAAAGAUGACCAUUCAAAAAGUUAAAACUGUUCUCCCUGCAACCCCUGAGUGGGUCAUUUGGAAUCUCUUCCCCCUCUUCCUCUACAUACACACACACACACAUACACAUAUACAUAGGAGAGAGAGAGAGAGAGAGAGAGAGAGAGAGAGAGAGAGAGAGAGAGAGAGAGAUUCCACUUAUGAAAGCAACAAGACUAUUUUAUAGUCAGGAAAGUAAGACCUUAAAAUUGUACUUAAGAACACAAUCAUAACAGAAGUACUAUUAUACUGACUGAAAAGUUUGGCUGACAUUAGCCUACUUUAAAAAUAUCUGCAAGAGUCUUUUAACAUGUUAUUCUGUCCCAAAGAGACUUACAUUAGAUAGAAAUAACUAGAAGGAUCUCUACUUAAACUCGCUCUAUUUCUGAUUGUACAUCCAAGCUACCUCACAGAAUUCCAACUGAAGAAAACACCCUUUCUCCCUGGACUAUAUGGAAAAUGCAUUUAGAUGCAGUUUAAAAAGUAGCCAAGUUGAGUGGAAUGAGGAACUGUGGGAGGGGGACUGGAAGGGGUGUGUGUGUAACAGCUGAAAUGUAAAUAAAACAAGAAAAAAAUAAAUCAUCUAACAAACAAAACAAAAACACCACCACCCCCAGAUUGGGUUCUUUUAUAAGCUCUUAAAAAAAAAAGUGGCCAAGUGAAACUCCUAUUGAUUGAGAAUUGUUUUAAAGCGUUCUUACUUGGAUGAUAAACAAGUUCAUUUCUACUUCAUGUGAUGAGAAGGUGAGAGCUGUAGAGACUUCAAAGCCCAGACUGUAGACACAAACCCAAUGGCAGCCUUCUGGCCUCAGAAUCCACAUGAAAUUCAAAUGCCUGGGGUUCUCAUCUCUGCUCCACAUUAAACUUUAUGGCCCAGCAGGAAUGUAAAGAAUGGUGCUUUAACAAAAUUUCCACUUACUAGACAAGUUUCUCCCUUUUGAUAAGGAUGUCAUGCUGUCCUUUAAUGGUGAAGCCAUGCUUAGUACUAGUAAGGAAGGCAAAUGCUGGGGGAGGGCCCAGUCACUUCUCUAGGAAACGUGUACCUUAAACCAAUUUUAGUGUUCUGGUUACAGUUCUGAUCCUGACAUCAAGUUUUAAAAGAGUAAAGUAAUUAAUGAUGCACGUUGAACUGGGAAGCAAUUUUUAUCCAGUUGCAUCAAAAUAGGCAAGACUCCAUUCCAUACGAAAUGUGCUCCAGCGCCUUAGUCAUGUGUCCUUUUAAGUCAUAAUUAUAUAUUCCCUUUCUUGGCUCUCCAAUACUUUUAAAAGAUUAUCUUUAGAUUUAUUACUCAUUAAUCUGAGUCAAAUUUACCAGUGGAAGAGGCUGAUGUAAAACUCCUGAUGUAAGCAGAACAAUGGGGAAUUCUCGGUUCUUGAGUAACCUAGAAAUAAUACAUUUCCCCCCAAAGCAUUGAGGGUACCUUCAAGGCCCACAUGAUGGGGUCUCAUGCAGCUCAAGCAAGCUGCCUAGUGCACGCAGAAUCCAGUCAAGUUUAACCAAGAGAAGUGUGCCUUGAGGACAGGGUUAAGCACCUAACGUCCUGCUACACAUACUCAAAGUAUCACUCUGGACAAUGAAAACGCGGGCAUCCUAGCACCUCAAUUCAUGUCUCAUCUCUCCAUCUCCCUCUCCCUUCAUCCCCUACUUGGACAGAAACAUUAAAAAAAGUGAAAAAUCAAAAUUUUCUGUUCAUGACUUAACCAGAUUCUCUGAAAAGGUGGAUUAAAAUACUAGUUUCCCCACCAUGAAGAAACUGUGGAAAGAAUCUAUUUUCCUCCAUGAACGUACACAGCUGCUCUUAUGUAGAGGUAAGGAAUUAAAUAUGUGAAAUAAGUGCUUUCUACAAAAAUUCACUAUGCCCAAACUUAAAUGGGAGAGACACGUAAAUUAAAAUGAUUACAAAGUGCUUUUAAAGUUUCAAAUUCUCACGUCCUCGCCCCCAACCCCUCCCCCCAACUACAAACAAAGCAGUCAGCAGCUGCAAGGCGCAGCCUUAUCAGAGGUGGGCAGACACCCAUGCAGACUACAGUAUUCUCAUAGUUCACUACUUAGCCAGUUGCUCCAAACUUUAACACUUUCCCAGGAGCACAGAAUUACAAUUGAGGAUUAAGUUGCAAGAUCAGCACAAAAAAAAUCUGAUUGGAAGCACAGUGCAGAGUAGCCAGAGUCCCAGCAGAGAGAGAUCACUGGGAACCCAUGCUUAAGUCUAAUGGGGUAUGGACUCCUCAUGUGUCCACAGGGAAUCUUUUCUCCGUUAGUGUCUCCUGGAGGCUCAUGGGUGGUGCAGAUCAAAGGAGGGACUGAGGGUGACCUCUGAGAGGGACAUAGUUUCAGGAGGUCAGGGGAUGAAAAGCUGACUGGGGCCCCCGGGAGGUGUUGAGGAUAAAAAGGUGAGGCACAGCUAAAAGUAGGAUAGAAUGGGUGUGUGGGGUAAGAGGAGGAGGAGGACUAACAGGAGCCAGACAUCACCUCUGACUGGACCCAUCUGGUUCUAAAUACCAUUGAGAAUGUCAAUAGAAGAAAUGUCACCAGAGAGCAUUCCAGGCCCUUCCUGGGUCUGAAGGGGAAGGGCCAUUCUGACUGUGGCCAUGGGAGACAGCAGUUCUCAGCAACUCCCUUCUGCAGUUGCUAAGAUGCAGGUAGCCAGUACAAACAGAACACUGAGGUACUUAAACACCGCAAGACAACCAGGGCUUUAGUACAAAGGGACCAACACAUACAUCUAUAAAUAUCCCAAUCUACAGGGCUGGAAAAUAGAAUUUUUAUUACAGUUAAUGCCUACUAACCGUACACAUUAAUAUGUUUCACAGUGACAUCCAUACAAGCAUAUCUUGUGGGUUGUACCUAUCUUCCUCGCCUGUGCCCCACUAGUUCUCACAAAGGUCAGGUGUCGAUAUUUUAACAAGACAACGACAACAUGGAUGUACAAUUUUUUAUUAUUGACAUUUAUUCUACUUGUUACUUUAGUAUCUUUAAAUGUUCUUAUAGAAAGAAAUGUGCCAAAAAAAAAAAAAAAACAAAAAAACUCUGAUCAGAUGAUAAUUUGGCCAGGAACAUUCAUUUUCACCAAAUAUCUUCUGAGGGCUCACGGCAGGCUGUGCAUUUUCUGUUUGUGACAGUGCUUCACGAGCGUACCCUUUAGUGACAACUCCAUGUAGAAGAGGUGUCUAGCCUUGUGGUUCCUAUUUACUGAUGUGAUAGCUAUUCUGUUUAGUGUGUGUAUGUGCAGUACAUGUGUGUACAUGGAGGCGGACUCGGAUGUCACGUGUUUGCUCUCACUUUCCACCUUACUUUUAGAGUCUCUUGCUGAACCUGGAGCUCUGUGAUUGGGUCACUGAGCUCCAGGCAUCCUCCUGACUUUGCACACCCAGUGGAGAGGUUUCAGUUGUGCACUACUGCACCAUACUUUCAACAUGGGUGCUGGGGAUUUGAACUCAGGUCCCCAUGCUUGCGCAGUAAGCAAUUAUCAACUAUUCUAUUAUUCUAGCCUCAUGGCCAAUUUCUCUGAUCUAAGCCCAAGUGCAAGUCCUCGAGUCACUCACACAAAAUUUCUUGAUUUGAUUAGGGCUUUUUCUGAUGACAGGCUUUGACUUCUGAGUUGCAACACGAAAAGUAUAUUGAAAAUAGUAAAAAACAUUUGCCCUUAGAUCAAGAGUGAAGACACAAGAUGCGUCAGAAAGGGAAAAAGACUUUAAUGAACUAAAUCAUAGCCCCUGUGCCAAGUGGCUUCUACAGUACUUCCUGGGAAAAACCCUAUGUAUGUAAUCACCAGCUAGGAAACGUGAUGUCACAAUCCAGAAUUGAUAGGAGGCUAGAGAACACUUCAAUGGGGACAGAAAGUGAUGUAGUGAAUGGAGAAGGGAAAGGAGGAGAGUUCUCAAAGCCAAGAAAACAAAACUACCCAUUGGAAGGAGCUGAAAACCUUAUGAGUAAGUUGAUUAACUAGAACAAAGGAUUACUAAUAAAAAAUGUCCACUUGGCUAAUGUUAGUAGGCUAAAUUUAUGAAUACUGGCCAAGCCAAAAGAACACUGAUAAAUGUAUAAACCAUUUUGGUGAUAUAAACAGACACAUCUGUUAGCAGAACAAGGCUGUGGCCAAAGUGAAAACGGGAAUUUAGUACCAGACUUUGUACUUUGUCCACAUUUGCUUCCUAUUGCCUAUGUUGAAAUCACAUACAAAUGGCAGUGACUACUCGACAUUACAAGAAAGACAGAAUUAGAGGUUUGUUUUUUUAAUUUACUUUUAUUUCUAUGUAUGUGUGUAUGUCUUUGUGAGUAUAUGCUCUAUGUAUGGGUGUCUAUGAAGGCCAGAAGAAGGCACUGGCAGUUAUGAGCUACUGGGAACCAAAGUUGGGAAGAGCAGGACAUGCUCUUACCUGCCGAGCCAUCUCCUCAGCCCUGAAAGACUGGGCAUCAUGGCCAUAUAGAAUGGGAGGUAUGACAUCAUGAGAGAGGAGUGAAGAAGAGAGGGGGAGGGAGAAAGAGGAAGGGAGUGAGAGGGAGCACGUGCACAGAGAGCCUGGGCAAGUCACAGGCGGAGCAGUAACCGGUGCCUCUUCCCCCUCUGGGUCUUCCUUUCACCUCAGUAUUCUUCCCUCUACAGCUUCAUGCAGUCCACAUGUUUUCUAGGCUCUGUCCUGCCCCCUCCCCGUUAUGGGCCCUUUCCAGUUUCUAGGGCUCUGCAGACACCAUAGAUUAAACACACGAACCAACGUUCCCCUAUUUGCUGACUUGGCUUUCGUCAGUGAUUGAAUGUUUUGUGAGAAAUCAGAAAAGCAAAUGACACUGGAAAGCACAGCAAGGAGGGAGGACAGAGGUCACCGUGGCACCUGUGCGGUGAUCACUAAGACACCACUGUGUCACGGACUCGGUUGUAGAAAAUUACACGUGAGAAAUUGUCUUACAAUGAUAAAAAAGAAUGGGUUUGAGAUAUUGACACAGAAGUUUAACAGAAGCCUGUGAUCAUUAUUAACAAUGAAGACCUCGAGUCUAAUUACAGUAUUCUAUUUAGCAUAAUGUAUUUAGUUCGAUGGACAAUUGUUCAAGUCUGCAAUUCCUUUAAAAAUCCCAACAACAUAGUGCCACCCAGAAACACAACUCUGGGUAGUAACAUUGUGCCAAUACCUUGUAAGACAGCUGUUUUGUGUGGAUUUCCAUUUAUUUAUUAUUUGUUUAUUUAUUUGGGUCGUGGAUUCCCGCUGAUGAAAUGGAACCACUCAGACACCUUACUUCAAGGAGUCAAGAAUAGAAAAGCAAGCAGCGAAAGCACCAGCUUAGUCCAGUUCACAUUUCAUUACUAACAGUCUAGCCGAACGAAACCCACCAGGCACAGCAGACAUUUCUGUCCUUCUCUCCCCCUUCCUGUGCUCGAGAAGGAACUGAACUCAAGACCUACAGAGCCACAUUCUCAGCCCUUUACGUCCCUUUCGCCUUUUGGAAUAAUAAAUAAAAUUACUGAUUUGAUCUUGUAAAUCCGGGAGAGGGAAGGACUGGUCUCCAUUGUCUUGACAGUUGAAAACUGGACUGCAGCCCACAGAAGGACACAGAAGAAUGCUGGGUAGAAAUAGCCUAUGACAGAAAUGGAGGGUUUUGAAGCAAACAUGUGACCUUGAGGGUUAUAGUUCUAUCAGGGUGAGCACUACCAUUGGGGUCAAUGUAAUCACUGAAACUAGAGAACACUGGUACAGUAGAACAGGAAAAUUCCACGCCCGCUCAUCUCACAGGCCUUACUUGGGGGGUAUUAAUGUCUGCACGUGCUCUUUGUUGCCAUGAGCAACACUCCUGCAAACACAUUUAAAUGCCAGAAUCGGGUCACGGUUACCUUCUGCAGGGACCUUGCCAUUCUGGAGAGGCACUUGCUGUUUCAUUCAGGAUUUCAAAGGAAACAGCUUUCAUCUCAGGCAGCUGAACAUCUGGCUUUUUGGUUUGUUUUAAGAAAGAAACAAAUCACCAUGAAACAGGUCAGGUUAGCAAUUUCCCCCUAUUUUUAUAAUUGUACGUGGGGGUUUUUGACGUGUCUGAUGACCAUUCGCACUUAUGCUUCAGUUUGCAUUCUGAAGUCUCAUGAUUGUUCAGUCUUAGAACUCCCCAAAGUAAAAAUACCCAGAAUAAAAGAGGUGAAUAAUCCAAGCUUUCCUGCUAUAGAUUUUGAGGAUUUUUUUUUUAAAAUCACAAAAUAAUUAAUAAACACAUACUUCUGAUUCUUGGAACAAAGUUUUCUAUUUUUUCUUAUUGAUCAGCAAAUUAUUCUUCUCCUCUACCCACUAAUGCCUGUUUAAAGUCCUCCAAUACAUAAUUAUGGCAAGAUCUCCUCCUCCUACCACUGAGAACCUGUAACUAUUAGGAACUGAAUGAGGGUCUCACCUGUCGUUGUUCUAACAUGGCACUAGCAAGCCAACUGGAAGGCUUUUGCUCAUCUCACACAAUGAUAAAUAAGCAGAAGCAGGAUUUAAAUCUACAAAGUUGUGACAUGCACUUCCUAAGAGAACCAUUUUUAUAAUGAAUUGAAGACCAAAUAUUUCUACUUUUGCUGUCUAAAUCUAAGCUCUCUGCUCUAUCAAUGACGUUGUGUACAUAUGAUAUUUUUGUAUCUAUGCUCAUGGAGAAAUCAGUCUGUACUUUAAAAAGUCUGAACUAUUUUUUAAAAAUAGCCUACAAAGCAUUAGGCUUCAUUUUUGCAUUGUCAGAUAUAAUUUAUUUGUUGAUUCUCUUCCCUUGGUUCUUCCUCAUCUUUGUGUUCUUCCAGCCAGUUGCCUACACUGUGUUCUGUCACCCUCCUCUUCUAGUUGCAUGACCUACAACCAUUCCAGCACACACAGAGCCCUUCUGUAAAGCAGUAAGAGGGCAGUUCUAAGGCAACAUUUCCAAAGGUGUUUUUGAUCCUGGCAGCACAGUCCAGAGUGACCCCACUGCAAUCUUUCUAUUCUGAUGAUGGCUCUGUGCUUUUGGGGCACACUUCCAUAGUUUUUAGUGACAGCCAAUCUUAAUUCCCUUGUUUGAAACUCUCUUUCUUAUAUAAGCUUACAAGUGAGUCCCAUGAACAGAUCUGACCUGAACACAACAUCUAUUUAGUCCAACUUCUAAACCCUUGCGACAUCUUGAACUCUGCACUUACAGCCUUUAUCUCAGUGUAACCGCAUCUCUUUCCUUUCGGCCCGUACUGUGAGCUUUGUGUCGACAGAGACCUACAUUAUCUUGUUCUACCCUGGAUCUCUGUGUCUUGCUCGGGGAAUGUGAAGGGUAUGUGACCCAAAUGGCUAUCAACGGCCAUUACAGACAGAAAGGCCCCAUCAGUUCGACCUAGUGUUCUAUGGCACUAUGUUGUAAUUUUCAUCCUCUAUAAAAUGGCUUACCCCAAAACUCCAAGGGAAAAAAAAAGUCCUCAUCUAAGCCUACAAAACAGAGCUAUCUUCAGUAUGCUGCAACCUUGAGCAAUUUCCGUGAGUAAGUCAGAGCUAUAAAUAAAAUAACAAGAGAAACAGUGGAACAAACGCAUCCAAGUGAGUAGCAUCAUUUAGACACAAUGUUCUGUGGGCAGCAAUGGUCUCUGGGAUACCAUUAAUGCUUUAACAUUUUUUAAGGAUCUCUUUGAUGGAUACCUUUAAAAUGAAUUAACUGAGUCAUCAGGAAUCCUGCCUCCUCUCUUCAGGCCAUCCUUGCUAGCUGCUGUUGUCUGACUCCUCCGAGGUCUCCAGGACCCACUCAACUGAGCCCUGACCACAGAGAUAGAAUGUUAUCCCGACUCUCUGUGUAGAGCUCUGGCAGUCUGGCUGUGGAGCGCUGAGGCUUGCAUAGGAAAGGCCAGGGUUCAUUCUGACCACGCACAAAGAGACGGUGGAGGGAGGCCCUUCGGAGUAGCAUGCUUGUCCAGGACACCCUAUGGUGUACGGUCAGGGACUCUAACCUGCCUGCAGCAGGCACUGUUCCACCACAGGAAGUCAGAGGAGGCUGGGUUCUCAGAGGGGCAGAUUCAGUCCCAGAUCCUUGUUUGGAGGCAGGUGUGUGACAGCCUGGUUUUCUAACCUAGAGACAAUUGAAGCUUUCUCUUCCCCUGAAGGGUGCUGCAAGUUGAGCUUUCCAUGUAUGCUCCCCUCCCCCACUCCAGGAACAUAAUUUCAAUAAGGAUGUAGUUGACAGUUGAAAACAACCCCUCUCCAUGCCAGAUUUCUCCUUUAAAAGAAGACAGCAUUAACCGACAGACACUAUUGCAGUGGCUGUCCUGGGUGUUCCACACUGUACCACUAAAUUACCUCAACAAGAAUGUCAGCCUACUCCAGUCACUGUGGUCUUAUCCACUAGAAACAACAGGCCGUGAGGUCAGUGUCAGAGGAAGGAGUGGCAGAUUCAGGCCAGAUUCCAAACCUUGUAUCUGUUUGCAGCAGGGCCAGAGGCCCGUUCCUGCCCUUGUCUGUAAACUACUGAGAGUUUGGUAACAGCAACAGCAUAGAGCUAAAAAGUCUGCAAACUAGACUUUAUCUCCUCCCUGCUGUGACACUUAUAGGUGGUGACAAAACUGUGUGUGGUGGUGCUUCAUUAAAGCAAAACAAACCUUGCCUUCGGCUUUACUGUUUAGUCAAACGCUCUCACAGCUCUAACAAUUAGAGGGUAUUUGUGUUAGUCAGUUUCUGUUGCUGUAACAAAUACCUUACUAAUGAACUUAUAAGGAGAAAAGGUCUAUUUUUGGCUUUCACAUUUGAAGGUUCCAGUCCAUAACUAGCUGGUUCUUGCUUCUGUGGGCCUUGGCAAGGCAGUGUAUGAGGGUGGGAGAGUGACAUAGUAAAACCUGGAGACCAUUGGUCAGGGAAGGAACUGAGUUCCACAGUCUUUAUAAAGGGCGUUUCCCAGUGACCCAAAAGCCUCGCCCUAGGCACUACCCCUUAAAGGUACCACCAAUGCGACACAGUGCCACCCUAGGACCCUGCCUCAGCAGUAGGGGCUUAAGGCUUACAAUUUAAAAAGAAAAACAGCAGCCACACCACACCUCCCAACCUGAUUCCUGCUUCCAAGAGACAAAUAGUUUUUUGAGUGGUUUCACCUGUAAUUUUUUUCUUCAUGUUUCUGAAAUCACACACACACACACACACACACACACACACACACACACACACACACACACACACACACUUAAGACUGAUGAUGCAAGCCUUUAAUCACAGAACUUCUGCAAGCAGAUCUUUCUGAGAUCAAUCUGGUCUACUUAGAGUGCCAGACCAGCCAGUGCUACAUAGUAAGAUCUUGUCUUAAGAUAAAGACAAAAUUGUUGAUUUUCUGUCCUACAGAUGGUUUACUAUGCUACCUGUACUCACAAGUACCCUCCUUCCUCCUCCCACAAUCCUCCCUGAUUCUGCGAUUAUGUACUGUAGUUGGGAUAGGUAUGAGCUGUCCUCCUGGCUCAUAUGCUAUCGUCUGGUCUCCACCCGGUGGUGCUAUGUCAGGAGGUUGUGGAGACCAGAAGUGGGACCAACAGGGGAAGCGGAGUCUGGAGGGAGUAUUACUGAGGGUUAUACCUGGUCCUUGGAUCCCGUCCUUGUUCUGGGCAUCCUGAUUGCACAGAGUGCUUCUACUUCAGCACAUUAUCCCCAUUUAAAGAAAAAGAAAGCUGAAACCUAUGACACCUUGGGGAAAUGAACAUUUCUACAUUUCUUCCCAUAUACUCUGGCCGAGGUUAUGUAAGGUCUAACAGAAAACUGUUACCAAGUGUUACUACUUGUCUCACAAGCUGUUGGAAAUGAUUGGUGGGAGGAAUUUGGAAGCAUUUGGAGAAGUGGGCUAGAGAAAGUCUGGAAUACCACAAACAGAGCUUGCUUCACGGCUGAUUUUGGUGGGAGCACUGAAGACCAGGCACUACAGGGACUCAGACAGUAAAGGGCGGGCUCGUGAGAUUUCAAGUAGGAUAAGGACUCCACAGAGGCCAUUUAUGCUACAUCGUGACAAAGAAUUUGCCUAUAUUAUUAUGCCCAUGUCCUGAGACCUUGUGUAAACUGAAUUUGGACACACACAAUGGCCACCAGACUUGGGGCGAGAGGCAGACUAAUGGCUGAAAUGAAUGUUCCCAAGUAGUCAAAUGUGCUGGCUACCUGGUCCCAAGCUGGUCCCAAGGCUGAGCAGUUGUGGAAACUGCUGGCCCUAACUGGAUGAAUUAGUUCUCAGGAAGAGUGCCACUGAAGGAUGUAUGUGAUCCCUGAGGUCCCUUAUACCCUGUCCCUGCUCCCUGGCCUUCAUAGGGCAAGGAAGUUCUAUUACACGUCCCACAGACAUGCUGUCCUCAGCAGGGGACCACCAAACCAUGAACAUGGACAGAAGCUGCUGAAAGGAAGAGCCGGGCCAAAUCUUUCCUCUCCUCUGUUGUUCCUAUCAGGUCACAGCGAUGAUUAAGAACAAGUAACAGUGUGGGGACUGUGAGUAGUACUGGGUGUUUAUACUAGACAAUUCCCAAGGAGCCAAAUGGGUCCUGGGUCCUUCCCUGUGUGAUGCUGUCCCUGUGGGUGAACAACUGCCUUGCUUUCACAGGUGAUAAUUCCUAACUCCUGCUACUCUAAAACACUCAAGCCUCUCAAGGUGGCCCAGCACACUGUAGUCUCCCUGUCCUCCCAUGUCUCUCCCUCCCCAUCUCCUUUUCUUUCUGGAACACAUAUAACUGAGAUGCAAGUACAGAUUUGAUCCCCACCCCUAUUUUCUACACAUCCCUUUGAAAAUCUUACUUGCUGGGAAAGUUUAAUGAAUCAAUGAAUUGACUAUUUCUUUCUUUCUUCUUCUUCUUCUUCUUCUUCUUCUUUUUUUUUAAAGAUCUCUGUAAUGUUUUUAGUUUUUAAAAGUGGUUCUAUAUUCCAACUGUUUCAAAAAAAAAAAAAGUCCUGAUUUUGUUUAAUAAGUAUUUCCUAUCCUCUGGACGGUUCGGGGUUGUUGCUUCUCAGGCUGCGUUUCCCAAGUGUGUGUGGCUUGCUCUUCACGGCUGCACUAAAGGAAGACCUUGCUCAGAGUCUCACACUGUUGGUGUUCACAUUGAAGAGGUCUGGGCACACAACGGGACUUGACGGUUGGUUGGCUCUGAUGUAGAAGCUAACAGCCUGCUGUUUCAUGAGUGGGCCCAAAUGACCGUCUACAGUCCUUUUAAGGCAGGGGCUGUCUCUUCCCCCUAACCCUCCAAUAAAAGAUGCCCUCUGCCCAGAGUAGUUUUGGCUGGUCAAUAAACAUUCUGAAGCCAAUCAUUUGACUUCCACAGAGUUACUAUUUUUAGUACUAGCAAGCUAACAUGAAGUGGAAUUAAAAUAUACUACUACGAGACAGAGUUUUACAUCAGUAUUUUAUAAUUUCCCAAUACCCUAGCCAAUUAUUUUAGGGAAGACUGUAGCGAUUCUCUCUCCUAGGCAAGUUUAUAGAGUGCACUGUUUACUUCACAUAAAAUCAACACCAAGAGGGUAAACUAACAGGAAGAGAUUAGAUGGAAUAGAUCCAAGCAAAUCAUUCAAACAUCAAUAUAUUUUUAUACCUGUGUAGAACUCCAUUCUAGAUGUGGUCCUGUAUGUGUAGUGUUUAAAACAGAUAAUUUUCAAACAAUCGCACAGACACACAAAACCCUUUGCCACCUUCAAAGCUACUACAAAAUAUGAUGGUGGAUUUGCGUGAAGAGCAGCACAGAAAAUACUGGUCAGACACAGAGAAAGGCCAAUACUGGACCACGCAACCUGGUCUUUAGGUCUCCCCCACCAGUUGUUCUGGUGCCUGCAGGACAGUGAGUGCCUCAUUGGCUUAUCUCUCCAGGGUGUUCUUUUCCAUCCCAACUCAUGCUCCUAUGAUGACUAAGACAGUCCAUCUCUUACCACCACUCCUCCCCACAACCCUCCCAGAACCAAGCCUCACCUCCCCAUGCCCUCCCCACUUUGUGCCUUUCUUUUCUUUCUUAAAUAACUCACCAAGUCAGAUCUGUGCUGCCCAUAUACUUGUGCCCUUAAUGAAAACUGUCUCUCCCUUCACCAGAAGCCAUCAAUCAUCAAUGGCUCCUCUGUUAGGGGUGAAGGCUAAUGCUAGGAUACUGACUGGCUUGAUCUUGUGCAGGUCUUGGGUAGGCAAUCAUAGCUGCUACAAGUUCACAAGUACAGUGGUCCUGUCAUAUCCAAGAGACACUGCUUCACUCCAGUCUUCCCUGAUCUCUAGGUCUUACAACCUUUUCACUCCCUGUUCCAAGAUGGUCCUGAGCCUUGGGGUGAGAAAAUAUGCUAGAGAGAUCCCAUGUGUGGCUGAGCACUCCUUUGACACUGUUUGCACAUUGACCUGUUAGGCGUUUCGGUGUUAGUAGAACAGUAAUAGUAGGCCUGUGAACUACCCAAACAUGAAUAUUUGGUCAGAUUUACAGUACCAGGCAUGUUUCGUCCUGUGGAGAGGGCCUGUACAAUCGGAAAGCAGGUGGUGACUCCUGACAUCUGUGCCAGCACUGCACCCAUGGUCUUGCUACUCUGCUCAUUACUAUGGUUCACAGAGGGGCAAGAUUUAAUGAUGUUUCUUCAUGGCAGCCCACACAGCACCUCCUUGUAGGUACUAUGAAUGCUAACAAUGGCCAGUCUUGACUGUCAACUUGAUUGGAUUGAUAUGUGUCUAGGGAAUUAUUAAAGUAUAACUCUGGUGUGUCUGUAAUGGUUUUUAGAGACAAUUCAAUCACGAGGGUUUUGAUCCAAUGGACAGAUUCAUGAUACGAAUUUACUACUGGGAAGGGAUGAAAGGCAGGAGAUGGACCUCCAUGGAGGAAGUGACCCAUCACUGACGGUAUGUUCCUGGGUGUUAGAUCUUGCUCUGUUUCCUCCCUGUCCUCUGUUUUGUUCACGCCUUCCCCUUCGUAUUAGACAGACAUCCCUGAAACCCUGACACUUACUGGCAAGUUACUUACGAGCCACAAUUAUGGUUUAUUCAAUUAAGCAAACCUAAAAUACUUCCUUCCAUAAGCUGUUUGUGCUAUUUGGUCACCACAAUAAUGAAACUAACAAAGGUACCUAAAUGGGACAAAUUAUCUUCUCUCAUUGUUGUUUUUUGAUUGAAAUAGAGUCUUACUCUGUAGCCCCAAGGUAGUCUUAAACAUUUUAUAUAGCCCAGACCGGCUUCAGAUCCUGAGUUUUGGGAUUAUAGGCAUGGACUACCAUGCUUGGCCUAAAUCAAGUCCUUUAUAUGUCUUGGUAAAGAACUUUUAAUAAAAAUUUAGCAUGUUAAUAAUCUACCAAAUUUAUAAAUUAAAUACAUUUUAAGUUAUAUUUUCCUUUAAUUGUUACAUAUAGCAGCUAAAAUGUGAUCUUCUCAUUUUCUAUACAUCAUCAAGGGCAGAUUAUAGAUGAGAAAAGGAGAGAUUACCAGGAGCCAUGAAAACCUCAAUGAAGAAAUGAACGAAAGAGACAAAUGCAUAUAGAUCUAACCAAAUAAUGACUGAGCUUGUUUACUGAGACAUGAUCCCUGAUAUUGUGCAAGGCCUUGGUGAUAACGUAACUGUAUAUUUACACUUCCAACUGCCCUUCCAGUUUUGGUUUCCAGAAAGUAAAUUUCACAAUAUUUUAAUUAUUAAAACAAGCAUGGAUAUAAAUGAGAAAAUGGGGUGCUUGUUAGACAUGCACAUACUUUAGAAAUAGUAAUAAUCCUCUAUUUAUAGACUUGCAUACCUAAUUGUAAAACUGGAAAUUCACUUCUACAACAGUGGAGUUUGUAUUGGCUAGCUAAGAUGUCUCUUUGAAGGAAUCUUAUGACAACUGUCAUUUACAUAAUGAUUUAAUUCUUAUACUUUCCUGCUUGUGUUCAUUUAUCAAGUUUGCUUAAUUAGAUAAAUGGUGAUUGCAGCUAGUAAGUAGGUUUGCCAGUAGGUUAUUUUGGAAGAUUAGUGCCAAGUCCAAAUUGAUUCCUGUUUUAACAAAAGCAGAAUUAUUCCUGAAAAACUAAAGCCUACCACAGUUUCUUCAGUGAUAUAAAUGAUUUCCUCUCUAGGGGGAAAUGAGUGCGAUAUACUGUAUGCUUUCAACACAUUAAUUAUUUUAAGGAAAUUAAUAAUUGCCUAGCCAGCUGUAGUCUGUGCCUUUAUCCUCUUAGAAAGGCGGUGCUGCAUUUGGUCUCACCUUGUCACUUUAUACAACGAGUCCACUGCUCAUCUGCAUAGUUAAGUCAGAGUACUAACUGAACUUCACUGAACAUCCUUGGCAGUUUCCUGACGCCAUCACGGCUAUUUAUUUAUUUAUAAUGUUUUAGUGAGGGAUUCCUUCUGACCUGACGUGAGGACUCGCUCUGUUUCCAUGCAGAACAAACAUCCUUAGAAGCUGCUUCAGGAUUUAGGUAAAUCACACGAGGGCUCAGAUCCCACUGUGGAUUACGCAUUCAGCUAUGUUUCUCUACUCUCUCUGUUCAAAAAUUGGUACCAACAAUUGUUUUGUAGGACUGAUUACCAUGAUUUUAUUUUCUUAUUUUACCAAUAUCAUACAGUGAGUGUGAGGGGGAGAGAGGGCAGGUUAGGGAAAGAAAAAAAAAGUAAUCUUUCUAGUUUGUUGAGCAAUUGGAGCAGAAGGAUAGUCGAGUAGAAACAUCCCAUCAUCAUCACUACCAUCACCACCAUCACUACCAUCAUCACCACCACCAUGAGCUUGCAAUGGAGACCUGGGACUGGGAUAAGUUAACACUCCAGCUCUGCUGGAAGGAAGCACCAAUAAAGGGAAUUCUGAAUCAAGUUUGGUAUACAUGACAGAUGUAUUAGGUUCUGAACAGUGGGCACAUGGCAAGAUGACUGUCCAGACUGCAUUUCAAACACGUGAGGGGAAGGUGCACACCUUUUGAGGUCUGAAUGUGCUUGACUCUCCCUCAGGGAAGGGGAAUUGCCAACUGUAGAGUUUUAAAUACAAAUUUAUUCCCUUGAAAAAGCCCCUACUCCUCCAACACUGCUUUCCUUUCCCACCCAGGCCAUCCUUCUUCCCUGGCUAUAGAAUUCUAUCUAGGAGUCAGCAGGAACAUCACCUCAUAGUUCCCCCAGGUCUACUUGGUCUGGCUGUAUUUCAUAGCACUGUGCCUUCUCUCUACAGGCUUCUUAUGCGUAUAAUGUCAGGGAAUGCCAGUUCCUUUAAGGAAGGCUUGUGAUUUUUCUGUGUCCCAGGGCUGCUGCUGGGCUUGCUAUGUCCUCCCUCAGCAAGUGCUGCACCAACUAAUUUAAUUCUACAGUGGGGGAAACGCCAAGAGAGGGCAAGGAAGAAAAGGACCUUAUAUUGGGUAUACUUAUACAUUAUAGAGAGACUUCCCUGUUCUGAGAUCCAGCCACUGAAUACCCAAGGAGCUGGUAGACCAGUAGGCUACAACAGUGAAACUUGGUCAAGAUCAUUUUCCUUCUCCACUUUUCAGGAAAAUCUGACCACCACUUAAUAAUAAGAGAUUAACUCUGGUGAAAAUCAUUAACUAUAAUUUAGUGCCAGAGUUAUACAUGGUUAUGCAACACAGGAGUAAUUUUAAAUUACGCUUGGUUUCCGGCAAGCUGGGAGGUCCACAUACCGAAACUGGGUUGGCAAUCUCGCAGCUGUUGAGAAAGUGCUACGAAUACUCUGGAAAAACCAGCGGUGGAAUGUAGGUUCUCACCGACAGAGCCUUUGUUGUCAAUAGGUGAAACGCAGGGUCCAUAAACCAAUAAAGCCGCAAUUUUACAUGGACUGCUCAGCAAAUAAAAAAAAAAUGCUUGAAAUAGUGAUAAUUUCCUUAGUUAUUUAAAUGAGGAUGGAUGGAUGGCAGGCUACAUGACCAAGGGCAAACAUUUAAUCUCUACGAAGUCCCUCUCAACAACCAGAGCCAUCUAGCAGCACUCGUGAAUCUAAUUGUCCACCUGCUUCAUGUCAAACACAAACCCUGUCAAAAUAAGGUGGGACAGUUUAAUGCUUGACAUACAUCUAGGAGUCCUUCAGUUUCUGCAAAGCCCAGAAGCUCUUUACUUACAGAACCGAGAAACUACUGUUUCUAAACAGCAUUUUAAAAUACUGCGUAAAAGCAAGGCCUGGUAUACGUGCUUGUUUAAAAAUACUUCUGUGACUGGGGGCAGAGCCAGGAGGGUUUCACAAGUUCCAGGCUAGUAUGGGGUACACAGUGAGUCCCAGGUCAGCCAGGCUUACCCAGUGAGAGCCCCCAUCCCAUACCGAUUAACUUGCAUUAUGGAUGUAUGCUCCUUAACAGCUAACACAGGUAGGUGUUCCAGUCUUCAGUAUAAACUCGCAGGUAACAAACAUGGUGAUACAUUAAGCCGAAGAAUCAAAUUAAGUCUUGUGUCACGGGUUGGCACUCAGCAUCUUUGUCACCUAAGCGUCCUUGCUGGGUCCUCUCUCUUUCACAUGUUCCUUUCACUUUCUCCAUACAAACAACAUGGUAGUUUAAUGGGAUCUGGAUUCCGAUAAGAAUCUGGGUCGGGUGGUGGUGGUCUACGCUACUAAUUCCAGCACUCUGGAGGCAGAGGCAGGGGAUGUCUGAGUUCAAGACCAGCCUGGACUACAGAGUGAAUUCUAGGACAGCUAGGGAUACAUGGUGAAAUCCUAUCUUGGAAACCACCCCACCCCCACUCCCAAAGAACCAAGAACCUGCAAAACACAGCUCUGUGUAAAAUAAAAAGCCCGACAUUUAUUUUAACACGUCUAAGAGGAAGCUCCGCUUUGUGAGUUAAUCAGCAAGUGCUCACUGUCAUUUUAGAAGGGGAUGAUGAGUCUGCCUCGGACCUGAGCAGUAAACCUGUUUUACUAGCCCCAGAGAAGGCUGCAGAACCCAACCACAGGUUUAUUGCCUGAUAGUUAGCGCUCUGUGAGGCUCCAGGCACACCCGAGAGGAACUGCAUAGAUUAAGGUCAGCCUUUGAGGAUGUCUGGGAGAGAGUAUCUUGAUUAAGCUAAUUGAUGUGGUAAAUUCCAUCCUUGACCUUAGGCAGAACCAGUCCUUGGGCAGGGAUCUUGGACGACUGAGAAGUACAAAGGGAGUGGAGCACUGGCUCUGGCUGGUUUUUGCUUCCCAAAUGUGAGCACAAAGUAACAAAUGGCAAACCUCCCGCCCUUUGACUGUUCCCACAAGAUGGCCAUGCCCUUGAACUGGGAGGCCGAAUAAACCUUUCACACUUAAGCUGCUUCUGCCAGGGUACUUUGUUACAAUAGGAAAGGAAACAAAGACAACUUUCCCAUCCGGAACAGCGAAGAUAUUAGGAUCAUAGCCUCAAGAGCCGGGAGAGAGCUCCUUCAGUGUGCAGGGUCCCACAGCAAGAAUCUAGAUGAGAAUCCCAAUGACCAGGUUUGCCUGGGAAAUAUUGUUCCCCUAGAGUUUUGAGUAGAGUUAGAAAUGUCCUAAGUGAGACUGCUGAGUUUAAAGCGCACUGUCUUAUUAGAGCGGGGUCCACUGGUUGACAUGGGAGGAACAGGAGGAAUUCCUACCAGCUCUCAUGCACCCAUUCGCAGACAGUGCAGGAGCUGCCAGGGAAGGGACCAUCGUACUGAGACCGAGAGUGCUAAGGUUGAACAGGAAGAGGCUUCAGUAAAUCCAGGUGGGGAAGUCACAUGACCAAUGGGAGGCCUCGAUGAUGAGAUGGUGACACAGUCCACACAGAGUGCUGCAGACACACAGGCACACCGAGAAGGGGAAGGCGCUGCUUGGUGUGCUGGCAACUGCUCAGACAGUCUCUUGCCCCGGAGAGCUGUGAGAGCCUUUAAGGUGGACAUAAGGCAGGAAGGUUCUCAAUACUGAGCAUCUCUGGCUACUCUGUGGGUGGUAAGGUUUGGGGAAGGAAGCUGGAGACAGUUCAAAGGCUGUGGUAAGUGAAAGAUGCAAAGGGGUUGGAAUGAGGGCAGCAUUUUGAAAGCACAUUUGAUAUGCAGAGAAGAUAGAAUCCAGGACCUUUCAUCACAGGAUGUGGAGGUCGAAGCUGUGGGAAGACUCCCAGUUUUCUGGCCUGGGUGUUGAUGCCACCCAACAGGAUGCGGGAAGAUGGGCAGGCACUGUGGGGCGAGCUGUACUGAACUGAUAUUGGACAUUCUUCAGCUCAGGAGGGCAAAGGACAGAGCCCAAGAUGAAUUCCAGCUAACUCGAAGCCACAAAGGUGGUGAUGCUUGAGGGCUAGGAUGGGCCAGGACUGGCCAGGACUGGCCAGGGCGGGCUAGGAUGGGUUAGGAUGGACUAGUGACCUUACAGAAACCUCCUGGAGGGAAGGGAAGAGACUGGAAUUAUAUCUCUAUAUCUCAAUCUCCCUCAGCAUCAUAAUCAUGUACAAAAAGGAAAUACUAUUUCUUAUCAUCAAAACCCGACCCUUCAACAUAGCACACACCCCCCUUGACAAACAGGAGUAUCUCUUACUUCUGAGAGGUACAAGGGACAACAUUCAGCCUAGGAAAGAGACACACCUUGGCCACCGAGCCUCAGAAGAGAGAAAGCAAUUACCCACUGGGAAUGCUUCCAGAAGGUAGGGGGAGCUCCAGGCGCUACACCUGCAAGGCAAGGGCACCUGAGAGAGAGGGUGCUAACACACCCAGAGGAGCGACACCCAGUGAGUCAUGGGACAGGGAGUUCUGCCCUGUGCAGCGUCCACACCCACCACCACAAGGGCAGCAACACACAUAGCUCUCCAGACCGGUGCUUCAAUGUUAAAGGGACUGGGAAGACUGGUUAAACUGGCCUGUCAGCUGAAUGGCCACCAGACUUGGCUUGGGUUCACUCUCCCAGGAAAUGGGGCGAGAGGUCAGAGCUAUGGCAAAGAAAAGUGACUCUUGGAGAGUUCUGAGAAAGAGAGCUGGUCCUGGGAUUGCUACUGUAGAAAACUGCAUGCUUGGCACCUAUGUAUACAUGUAUGUAUGUAUGUAUGUAUGUAUGUAUGUAUGUAUGUAUGCAUGCAUGCAUGUAUCUAUUUACUCAGCGUCUCAUCUAGUCUAGGCUGGCCUUGAACUCCCUGCCUGAACUUCCCCAGUGCUAUCUGCAAAGGAACACCAGUGUUUACUAGGCAGCUUCACUUUGGCCAUAGCGUCUUCCCCUCUUCCUCUUCAUUUGACCACUCCGUUCCAUAGCAGUUAUCAGAGCAGAUGCCAGAGGGAGCAUGCGGGAUAGAGUGUUCCUAUCCCACACUGCCUUCACUCUGUAGAGAUUUACAGAUUACCGUGACUCCUCUACUGCCUCAAAUAAACCUGCUUUUGUUUUUUAAGUACAGAGCAAAUGCCAACUAGUAAACAAGCGUACCAGGAAGAUGUUAAGAAAGCUACCAUCCCAGCCUGGGAGGCAGCUGCUUCCUGACUGUAAUCAGUUUGCAUGGACUGAGAACCACCAAGGACCAACAAUGGCCUGCAAUUGAUGGAAGCCUUGCAUACCAUGGACAAGGAUCUGAAAAACACACCAUUCGAAACUUCUCAGUGGUUUUCAGAGGGAUAGGCCGAUAGGGUUUAUGGGUAAGAGUAUUUCCUGCUUGGCUGGGCUUUUCCAAGAAACAACAGAACCCUCCCUCAGUGGUCAUGACUCCUUCUAGUCACGAUGACAGACUGAGUGGAACAGUAUUUCCACUCCUGUUCCACAUGAUUUUUUUAAUGGUAAUAACCUAUUUGAAGCUAAUGUUUAUUUUCAGUAAAUUACUUUCAAAAAUA